UAAAGACUGACCUUAAAUAUCUGAUCCUCCU
rnacentral:piRNA from 1 species